CCCCCUAUAAAUGGUAACCUCCUUCUCCCCUGCAGUAGCUAAGAUUGCUGCUGCAUCCUGCCUGCUGUCUGCCUUAUAGGUGGGGUGUCGCUCCAGGACAUUUUGCUUCUGACUUGUAAGAUUCCCUAUCCAGUACACCUUGGAUGUCUCUUUCGCUGUUUCCAGGCUCUUUCUUUGGUCUCACGGUUGGGCAACUACAAGGCUUGCAGACCUGAGGGGUACAGCCCCAAAACAAGAAACAAUGCUUUGCAGUUUUAUACAGUAGCGGAAAGAGUAUUGGACCGAAGAUCUGACUCCUCAAAUCUACUGUUUAAGUUAGGAACACAGACAUGAAGGUGGGCAAUGUGGACGAUGAAAAUACCCUCGGAAAUGGCAGAAAAACAAAAUGAAAGAAACUUUGGUCCUUGAAUCACCUGCUGGCCCUGAAGUGUUUACUCCUGGAUGGUCUGCAUGAGAGAAAUAAUCCCCAAUCUUACCUAAACAGUGUAUUUUAGAGUUUUUGUCUGUCUGCUUCUCUCUCCCACUCUUUUUAACAGCAACUUCUUUUGUAGCUAAUAAAAGCAGCACUGUUAAUAGAAACUUCCCCUAUGGAACUCCGUGUACAAAGUAAGUAGAUCUUAUUUUCUCUGGACUGGAAGGACAUCCAAUAAAGAGCAAGUGACAAAUGUCUAAUACAACAAAAUCAAAUCAAUUUCCUGGUUAUCUACUAUGUGUAAGGGACUAAGAAGUUACACUAGUAGU